UAUCCAAUGCACAGAGGAGCACUACAACGAAUAUUAACCUGGGCAACAAGGUUUGGACACAGACCAACCCACAUAACAUAGAUGUCAGAAGCAUAUUGCAAAAGAGAAUCAAAAGGUCAUGAUAUUUGUUAUUUUUAUUUUUCAGUUUAAUUUUUGGAUUUUAUUAUUUAAAACAAAACAAUAACUUAGUCUUUACACCAAAUGGGCCAACCCAUUCGAAAAAGAAAAGAAAAGAGAAAAACAAACAAAAUAAAAGACCCGGCCCAACCCAAUCCCUAAUCUAUUACAUAUAUACCCUUGUAUAAGGUUUCCUAAACCUGCUUUCCAUUUCCCUCUUUCCCUGUCUGAAAAAUGUUGUCGCCUCCCCUUCAUUUCAACCUUCAAUUCGUCUUCCUUCAACUGUGGGUGAUAAAAUCGGUGCCAUGGACGCUUCUUAUACUUGUUUUUAUCAGCUUGCAGAAGUGUGUUCUCCGGUGGAUGGGACCAAACUCAACUUUUUGUGCUUCGAUCAAGGAUCUUUCAACUGGCUAUGGAUAUGAACUCCGUCUACAACUGGGAUGAAGAUAUUGGGAUGCUUAGACCCAAGAGUUUACGGAGAAAAAUCCAUAGCUCAGGUUACUCAACUCAGAUCUGACCCUAAGAUCCUUCCCUUUUGCUGCGAGUCCAUUUUGUUGGCUGCUAUAGAAUAGGCUAGUUAGCUUUUCCUCUUUUUGAUAGCCAUGAAUGGCUUGUAAAUAUUGCUCCUGAACUUGUAAGCUUAGCCUUGUCAGCCUUUCACCUUCUAUGUGGUGAAACUCUUAAAUAUGGAACUUGUAAUUUAUCGCUAAUAAGUAUUUUCUCUCCUGUAACUUUUAACUACUUAAAUUCUGUGGAUGUGAAGUUUCCUUCUUAUAUUGCAAGAUUUGCUAAGUGAUCUGCCAA